CCUUUGGAGUGUAAAUAGCUUUAGUAGUCUUAGGUAGGCGAGGAAGUACACGUUGAAUAAGGAA
rnacentral:ncRNA from 1 species